AAUACGGUUCGUUAGAUGAAAAAAAAUUUAUAUAUUGUUGUAGCAGUCUGGUUUGAUUUCAAACGAUGAAUAAUUCAGAAAGAAUUUUAAUUAUUUUACUAACAAAAAUAUCAUUUAAUUUUCCCGUUCUAAUGCAUCGCAUACAACUAAUAGCUGAAAGCGUCAUUUAAGGUAAAUUCUAUUUAGGUUAGGUUAAAUAGAAAAGAGGGUGCAGAUAUUAAUUCGCCCCAUGCCACUAUGGACAUACACCUAAGCCAGUAAUCGGCUUGUUGUGCGCUCUAAAAACUGUAAAGUAGCCUCUAAAAAGAAAAUUUAAAGUUACGAUUUGCGUGCUACUUACAAAAUUCUUCAUUGUUUUCAAUACCACUCCCCUAUGUUGGUUCAUGUCUGAUAUUGUGUCUCCACCUAAGUGCCGGUAUCUGUUGGACGCGAAAGCCGGGCAAUGACAAAGGAAAUGCUCCAACGUCUCAUCAUCUUCCCCGCAUGCCCUACACAAUGCUAUCACUUGCCGCACCGUGUUUACAUAACCUCAUCUUCUCACGAUCAGGAUCACCCAUAGGAUUUUCGCCGUCCUAACACCCGUUUCGCUGUUCCACGAUGUUGCAUAACUCGGACUGCGUCGACCCGAAAGUCUUCGAGUUAACCAAGUUUAUUGACGGCAGUCCUCUGGCCUUCACCGCCAAAUCGUCUGCCCCUUCAUUUCCUCUUACUCCGUUACGGCCCGGCACCCAAACGAUGCGGAAUAUCCCAUCCUCAGAGAAGGCGUUAAUCUCCGUUUUACACUGCAAGAUUGUUCGUGACCUUACCGUCCUGGUUGUUACAGCCCUUAUGGCAAUUUUACUGUCGGUACAGAUGUUCACACUCGACGUCCUCGCGUUAGCACCACACCACUUCACGCAUUCUGUGAUCGCCCGGAUCUCCACCUGCAGGACCGUAUUAUGGUCAGGCAGUCUAAAACAGAUCUCAGUCCCUGGGUUCUCAAUGUAAACUCCCAGGGCCACGAUUUUAUCCAUCCGUGUAACUUGAUCUUCCAGAUGGCAAUACUAGGGUUCCGUCAAUCAAAGACUGUGCCGAUGGCAGCAGUGCCUCGCACUCGACUUCAAGGUUCAUCUCAGGUAUCCGAUCGGAAACCUUUUCCCUUCCUUCCAGGUUUCCUAUCGUCGUCUGGAUUAUACCGCGAUGGUAUGAGCUGCUCCCACCCUCAAUCCAUUCUCCCAUCGCUUUAAGUCUCAUAGCCGCAGUGCUUCACACUUAAUUUGUAUGUCAAUGGGUCGGAUAUCCAAAUUGUAUUUAAGCAUUCGUUAUGGCAUAUGAAAACUCUGGUUAAUAUAACUAAAACCACGAGCAACCAUGGCUUUUUGACGACAAAGAAUAUCCAAAGCAGCAGAUACAAAUCCUUUCAGAAACUAUGGCUUUUUGCUGCAAAUAUGUAUCGAAAUUGGCCGGAAGAAUGGCAAAAACGAGUCGAAGGAUACGGAUAAUAACCCAUCGUAAAAAUAAACAAAAAUCUUUAAGAUAAUUUAUUUAUAAGAUCGAAUGAAAAGUAAAGUGCAAGUGUUAUUAAGCAAUCAAAUUUCCUAUUUUUAGCUUGACUGAUUUUUAAAAAUUUAUAAUCAUUAUUCAAAGUUGACUUGUUUGGUGAAACAAACAUUGUACAGAUGGAAGGCAUUCAUCCAGCGUGUUAGAUGUACGAUCGAUCCGUGGAGCGAAUAUAGAUUCGGAUCAUUACCUUGUUGCAGCAAAGGUUCGCACCCGCUUGAACAUGGCGAGGAAAGUACGAUCUGACACUGCGCGGAAGCUGCACAUUGAAAAGCUACAAACACAACAGAUGGCAGCGGCAUACUCCAUUCGACUGACCAAACAGCUUGAAGAAAACACUCCUUGUACUCCCAUGGCCCACCCAAUGGAAAAUGCCGCGAAAUCCGUACUUGGGUAUCGAAAGCCUCCUCUAAGAAACCCAUGAUACGACCAAAAGUGUCGAGAUGCUAGUGAAGCCAAGAAUGCGGUAUAUUGGGCAACCCUGCAAAGGAGAGGUAUCGGGAGAAAAGGAGAAACAUCUAUUCCGCAGAAAGAAAAAGUAAAUGGCAAGACCUGAGUAUGAGCAAAUUGAGAUGUACAGGAGUCAGAAUGAAGUCCGGAAAUUCUACCAAAGAAUUAAACAUCAAACCGAUGGCUUUGGUGCGGGUACAUGCUCCUGCAGAGACAAAGAAGGAAAUCUGGUAACUGACACAGAUAACAUGCUGAGGAUAUGGAAAGAACAUUUUACCCAACUGCUAGUGUCCGAUGUUGGCGGCGAAGAGGAAACUGCAGAACCAAUCAAUGAUGAGUGUAUAGAAUGUUUACCUCCUAGUCAGAAUGAGGUCCAAGUAGCAGUGAGCCGACUAAAGAACAACAAGGCAGCAGAAGCCGACGGGUUACCCUCUGAACUAUUUAAGACCGGAGGCGACACGCAGAUAAUGCGUACGCAUCAGCUAAUCUGCGCAAUCUGGCUAGAAGAGCACAUACCCGAUGAUUGAAACCUCAGCACACAAUGUCCCGUACACAAGAAAGGAUACAAGACGCAAUGUGCUAACUACAGAAAAAUACGUCUCCUCCCUAUCGCAUACAAGAUACUCGCGAGCGUACUGUGUGAAAGAUUAAAACCUAAAGUCAAUGAGAUAAUUGGGCCCUAUCAAUGCGGUUGUAGACCAGGUAAGUCCACCCUGGACCAAAUAUUCACACUGCCCCAAAUCCUGGAAAAGACCGGAGAAGGACAAUUCAAUACCCCUUUACGUUCAAAGGUAUUUUAAGCCAUGUCUGAGUUUGGUAUUCCUGCCUAUCGUGUGAUCCUGCUGAAGAAGAUUAUACGAGAUGCGGAUGUGAAUAGAUAUGGUACACUAAUCACAAGAGACUUCCGGUCACCGGAAGUAGUAACUGCAGCCUUUGAAAGAAUCGAAACAGAGUCAAUGAAAAUGGGUCUGGCAGUAAAUGGAGAUAAGACGAAAUGGAUGGUUUCAACUCCCAAAACGCCUAGUACAACUGAGCAGAUAAUGAAACUUGGAAAAAUUUGGAAGCCACAACUUUGAGGUAACUUAAUCUAACACUGCACCGCCGUAACCGAAGCCAGUGACACCAGUUUUGAGAUUAAGCGAAGAAUAAUGCUGCCAAACAGUUGCGACUUUGGACUAAGUAACCAGUUUAGAAACAAGGCCACCUCUCGACAAACGAAGAUUACACUGUACAAGACACUGCUACUACCCGUGUUGUUAUAUGGUUCUGAGGCAUGGUACUUGUGAAAACAGAUGAGGCAGUGCUUGGAGUAUUUGAGAGAAAGAUUCGUCGUAAAAUAUAUGGGCCAGUUUGCUUUAACGGAGAAUAUAGGCGACGCAUGAACCACGAGCUUUAUGACGACGAUAGCGUUGGCUAGGUCAUGUUGUCAGAAUGGAUGAAGAAGCUCCAGCAAAGAAGAAGGCAAACACGGUGGUACACGCAAACCAGGAAGACCAAAAUCCGAUGGAAAGAUCAAGUGGUGGGAGACACCCCGAAACUUGGUGUCAAAGAUUUUAGAAUAAGCGCAAAAGAUCGAGGCGCUUGGAACGCUUUUCUACAUUCGGCUAGUGGAACAAACGUUCUGUCAUAGCCAAUUAAAGAAAGCAGAUGUUUCUAUUACUUAAUGCAAAUAAAACCUUACUUAUAUUUAUUCUAAUUAUACCUGAUACGUUGAAAUUAAUGCUCACAGGAAAAAAAGAAUAGUUUUUAAGAAAUACAUGACUGUUUCCAAACAUAUAUGUAAUAAAUUAAGGGUUGCCAUUCGCCAAAUUUGAA